rnacentral:rRNA from 1 species
AGCGAACAUUGGCGGUAGGCUUAACACAUGCAAGUCGAGCGAGGCGUAAUAGUCGAGCGGCGAACGGGUGCGUAAUACAUGGGAAUCUACCUCGAAGUGGGGGAUAACGUUCAGAAAUGGACGCUAAUACCGCAUAAUCCAUAUUGGGAAAGCGUUGCAGCGCUUUGAGAUGAGCCCAUGGCUGAUUAGCUAGUUGGUGAGGUAAUGGCUCACCAAGGCGACGAUCAGUAGCUGGUCUGAGAGGAUGACCAGCCACACUGGAACUGAGACGCGGUCCAGACUCCUACGUGAGGCAGCAGUGGGGAAUCUUGCGCAAUGGGGGCAACCCUGACGCAGCCAUACCGCGUGAGUGAUGAAGGUCUUCGGAUUGUAAAGCUCUUUCGGCGGGGACGACGAUGACGGUACCCGCAAAAGAAGUCACGGCUAACUUCGUGCCAGCAGCCGCGGUAA